AAUUUAGCUUGAUUACUUGUUUCUCAAACUAUUAACGGUGCGAUGUUGUUAGAGAAAUGGUUUUGAAUACAAUCACAGUGAGGAAAUGGUCUCCCCUAGAAAAGGCUGACGAUCGGUAAUUUUAGCGCUAAUGUUGUAAGAGGAAUGUGAUGUUUUCAGCUCAGUUAAAAACAGAACUCGAGUCUCCGAGCUAGCUUGGCUAACCAAUCAAGCCUCCCCCUCUUCUGUCAAUGGUGAAUCGAUUUGUUGGACCGGCUAGUUGUUGCCAGACAUUAUUGUGUAGUCAACAAGAUGUUUUCAACGUUAAUUUCUUUAAUGACAAUGAGGAAUUUGCAUGCAGACAACUAGCAAGCUGUUUUGAUUCAGCCGAGUGUGGAGUCAUUGUUUGUGUGCUUUUCUGUUGGAGGUGCUGUUAUCCCCAAUUGAAUCAUUAGAAUUCUCUGAAAUGGAAUGGUUAUCGUUUUCAGUGCAUGAAAUAUUGAAUAUGUAGGCUACCUUAAAUCAAUGUCCACCUCGGAAUAUUCUGUUACACGGAGGAUCGAAACAUACUUACAAAUGUCAACCUGUUGUGCAGUUAGAUAUUACAUUUAAAAAAUAAAUCAAGUAUCUUUCUUCUACUGUGUCGUUUUAACAGACACUGGGUGUGUUCUAAGUAACGAUAGGACGUUUUUUCUUUCUGCUAGUGAUUAAUGAUUUCCACGUUUCAGGUGUGUCAACACCGAUGUAACGUUACAGCCACAACCUCUGAUUCACUUUAUAAGACGGUGACAUUGGUGAGAAGCACACCAAGCUCGGACCGGCAUUAUUGAAAGUUAACAGCUCCUGAACUGUCAACAACUGGCAUUAAUGAUGUCAGGUGGUGCGAGCUUCAUGAGCAAGGUGCGGUCCGCCUUUAGGAAGGAGCCUGAGGACUGGGACCUGAGCGACACGGCCCCCUUUGACCUCUCUGGGGACGAGCUCGCGGAGGAUGAGGCGCCCAAGUUCAACAAACUCAAAGUGGUGGUUUCCGGUGAGAUGGAGGACUACGCAGCAGGAGCACCGUCGAACGGUGUCGCGGUGAACACAGUGGUGGUGGAUGAUGACGACUCGCUGCUCGACUCGUCCUCGGGGAGUUUGGGGAGCCCCGGUGUCAACAUGGACCGGUCGCAGUGUGAGAGCUGCACGAGGAAGAGAGAGGGGGUUAAACGGAGGAGAGUGAUGAAGAAGUUGGCGUGUGCCUCUGUGUUGUAUUUCCUCUUCAUGAUUGGAGAACUGAUAGGUGGUUAUGUAGCUAACAGUCUGGCCAUAAUGACUGAUGCUCUCCACAUGUUAACUGACCUGAUUGGGAUAGUGGUGUCUCUGCUGGCACUGUGGCUUUCUGCUAAACCACCCACCAACCGAUUCACCUUCGGACUGCAUCGCCUAGAGGUGGUCUCAGCCGGUAUCAGUGUGUUACUCAUCUACAUCCUAACGGGGGUGUUGUUGAACGAGGCGGUGCAGAGAACUGUCAGUCAGGACUUUGAAAUCAACGGAGAUGCCAUGCUCAUCACUGCAGCUGUGGGGGUCGCUGUCAACCUAGUUAUGGGUUUCCUCCUGAACCAGACUGGUAACGGUCACCUCCACUCCCACGGGGGUCAUGGUCACUCACACGGGGUUCCCCCUCCACCCUCACACGGCCACAGCCACGAUGGACCCGCAGCCCAGGGGCCCCAGGGCAGUCUGGCGGUCAGGGCAGCCUUCAUCCAUGCACUGGGAGACCUGGUCCAGAGUAUAGGGGUCCUCAUAGCUGCCUACAUCGUACGCUUCAAGAGUACAAGCUGGCGGACCCCAUCUGUACCUACAUCUUCUCUAUCCUGGUGCUAUUCACAACGAUACGCAUCAUACGAGACACGGGAGUCAUCGUCCUCGAGGGGGCACCCAGGCAUAUGGACGUUCAGCGAAUCAGAGAAGACCUUCUGAAGUUGGAGGACGUCCAAUCAGUUGACGAGCUCAACGUGUGGGCAUUAACCGGCGACAAGACCACUGCCCUCGCACACCUGCGGCUCUCGCCCUCUAGUGCCAGUGCGUGGGAGGACGUGCAGGCCAAGGCCAGACACCUGUUGAUCCACACCUACGGCCUGACCAGGUGCACCGUGCAGGUCCAGACGCACAGAAACGGGGCUACACGCACCUGUACACACUGCCGAGAGUCCACCGCAUAGCCUGAAUUAAAGACAGUCUGAGGAAGUUAAACCAGACUGGUGCCAAAGCGUAGUGAACUGAUCUGGUCUAUGCCAUUGCUAGGAUAUUCGGACUGACAGUCAGAUGCACAUUUUAUUUUUAAAGGACAACUGAUUCCUCCUGGGCUGUUGCAAAGUUUUCUGAAGAGGGGUUGAACAAAUCUUAACUUUUCAACAAAAGAUCUAUAAUAAUCACCAUUAAAGCCUGUAAAUGUUUAACAUUAUUCCUUUUUUUUUUGGUGCUUCUAUAAUUGAACUGUGUUAAUGUGUUUGUUUGAGCACUCUAUACUUUCACUGUAGGUGUUCUAUUGUUUCCAGUGGGGUGACAACAGGGAAUGUGUCUCUGUGGGCUCAUCUCAAUUCUAUUUGUUUGAUUCCUUGCAUCCUCUCUUCUUGCCGCCUCCUCAAAACACAUCGGAGGAGAAGGUCUGGGGGGGAGGAACCUCAGAUUCACCGUGUCUGUCAUCCUCUCCUCACAUGGUCGAACCCCUGGGAUCUACUCUGACCUGUUAAGGACCAAUCCUAACAUGAGAUAUGCACCUGUAUAUAAAGUCUGGCACGCCAAUGCAAGUUAACUGUGAUUAUCUGAAGUUAUUCUUGGUCUUGUAGCGGAGAGGCCUGUAUCUGUGUUUGACUAGGUUGAUGUGAGGCUGUGUCUGAAAAUGUUACUAGCGGUCCAAUCCUUUCUUCCGCUGUCUUUGUUUCCUCAACUCCUCAAAGUUAAUUGGCAGAGAGGAUCCAAGGUACUACCCUCUGACGACCACGUCCAAUGAGCUUUGAGAGGAAUUGGGGGGGGACUGUGGAAACUAGUAACGUUUUCAGGCACAGCCAGAGAUGAGGCCCAGGCCGUCUCUAAAAGGUUAAUCCAUACAUCUGAUUGUAUUAUUGAUCUGAUGAUCGUGGCCAUAUUGCCUUCUCCUUUACUGACAGUGUUGAACCAGUAGACAGAGGAUGUGUUUUUAUGUGAAAAGACUUCUGAAUUUCGAGUACUGACCACACUCUUUUUGUUUGUUUUACUUGUUUCUUUAACAGUUAACUUAUUCUAGCUGAAAUCAGGAAACUGACAAUGAAACUGACUUUGAAUCAUGUUUAAUACUGUAGUAGGGAAAUGCAUGACUACUGCUUCUAGUUAAUAUCAGACAGUUUUAUUUGCUUAUCAGAUUGAUUCUGUCAACAUUUCAGAAAUGCAGUAUUAUUUCAUAAGCAUUGAGGGCUGUGAGAUGCCAAUAUUGAUAAUAUGCAUAAUUCAGUCAUUGUGUGGGUAUAUAAAUACAUUUGGCAUUGUGUCAUCAGGUCUUGGUUGGUUCCUUAAACCACUGUCAGUCUUCCUGUCCAAGCGUAUCAACAUGUUGGUUGGAACAGACUAAAAUGAAAUUUUCUUUGACUGCAGAUCAGUAUAUGCAUUACCUGCCUUGUGUUGCUCUUGUUGGAUUUAUUUUAUGUUAAAAGGUAUUUGGUCGAUCACAUUGUCAGGUUUGGCUCUACAGCAGCACUUACCAGUGUUUCAGUGAUUUGCACAUUCAUUACUUCAACCUGAACACUUAAGGCUCUGCUCCAAUAUCCACACUCGUGUACUACUACGCAGAAUGAAGUAUGGAUACGUCCCAAAUGGCAUACUUUAAUUGGUAAACUAAUAUGAGAACUGAGACUUCUAUUCCCUUAAAAUCAGGAUGCAGUAUUGCCUGUUGAUCACAUUAUCAGCUGUUUGUUUAAAUGAGGCAUGGUUAUCAAUCUUUUGAGUUACUUUAUCACUAGACUGAGACCUGUCUGAGUCUCACUCACACUUCCCUUUACUCAACUGGCAGAUACAUUGACUGGAAACAUGAAUGAAGAACCUGUUACAUUUAGAAAUAAAUAUCUUCCUUUGAACACUGA